GCCCAGGUAGCUCAGUGGGAAAGCUCCUAUAUAUGAUUAGCGAAACCGCAACAACUAGUAGGAGGUCGCAGGUUCAAAUCCUGACCGGUGGCU